rnacentral:rRNA from 1 species
GACGAACGCUGGUGGCGUGCUUAACACAUGCAAGUCGAACGGAAAGGCCCUGCUUUUGUGGGGUGCUCGAGUGGCGAACGGGUGGGUAACACGUGAGUAACCUGCCCUUGACUUUGGGAUAACUUCAGGAAACUGGGGCUAAUACCGGAUAGGAGCUCCUGCUGCAUGGUGGGGGUUGGAAAGUUUCGGCGGUUGGGGAUGGACUCGCGGCUUAUCAGCUUGUUGGUGGGGUAGUGGCUUACCAAGGCUUUGACGGGUAGCCGGCCUGAGAGGGUGACCGGCCACAUUGGGACUGAGAUACGGCCCAGACUCCUACGGGAGGCAGCAGUGGGGAAUAUUGCACAAUGGGCGGAAGCCUGAUGCAGCAACGCCGCGUGCGGGAUGACGGCCUUCGGGUUGUAAACCGCUUUCGCCUGUGACGAAGCGUGAGUGACGGUGAUGGGUAAAGAAGCACCGGCUAACUACGUGCCAGCAGCCGCGGUGAUACGUAGGGUGCGAGCGUUGUCCGGAUUUAUUGGGCGUAAAGGGCUCGUAGGUGGUUGAUCGCGUCGGAAGUGUAAUCUUGGGGCUUAACCCUGAGCGUGCUUUCGAUACGGGUUGACUUGAGGAAGGUAGGGGAGAAUGGAAUUCCUGGUGGAGCGGUGGAAUGCGCAGAUAUCAGGAGGAACACCAGUGGCGAAGGCGGUUCUCUGGGCCUUUCCUGACGCUGAGGAGCGAAAGCGUGGGGAGCGAACAGGCUUAGAUACCCUGGUAGUCCACGCUGUAAACGGUGGGUACUAGGUGUGGGGUCCAUUCCACGGGUUCCGUGCCGUAGCUAACGCUUUAAGUACCCCGCCUGGGGAGUACGGCCGCAAGGCUAAAACUCAAAGGAAUUGACGGGGCCCCGCACAAGCGGCGGAGCAUGCGGAUUAAUUCGAUGCAACGCGUAGAACCUUACCUGGGUUUGACAUGGAUCGGGAGUGCUCAGAGAUGGGUGUGCCUCUUUUGGGGUCGGUUCACAGGUGGUGCAUGGCUGUCGUCAGCUCGUGUCGUGAGAUGUUGGGUUAAGUCCCGCAACGAGCGCAACCCUUGUUCACUGUUGCCAGCACGUUAUGGUGGGGACUCAGUGGAGACCGCCGGGGUCAACUCGGAGGAAGGUGGGGAUGACGUCAAGUCAUCAUGCCCCUUAUGUCCAGGGCUUCACGCAUGCUACAAUGGCUGGUACAGAGAGUGGCGAGCCUGUGAGGGUGAGCGAAUCUCGAAAAGCCGGUCUCAGUUCGGAUUGGGGUCUGCAACUCGACCUCAUGAAGUCGGAGUCGCUAGUAAUCGCAGAUCAGCAACGCUGCGGUGAAUACGUUCCCGGG